rnacentral:misc_RNA from 1 species
UUAAGUUCAGCGGGUCUUCCUACCUGAUCCGAGGUCAACCUUUGGGUACCUUUAGAAGGUGGUUUUCACGGCCGGAACCCGCCGCACGCCCGGAGCGAGACAUGAAUGCUACUACGCUCGGUGUGGACAGCGAGCCCGCCACUGGUUUUCGGGGCCUGCGUCGCCGCAGGUCCCCAACACAAGCCGGGGGCUUGAUGGUU